UCUUAUUUAGUGAAAACCUUGUAAUCUAAUAUAAAUAAACCACACCCGUUGUUCCUAAACUUUAUUUUAAAUUACGUUUCGAUCACCCAACUUUUAAAACUUACAUAGAAUUAUUACAUUUUAAUCACUCAUUUGUUAUCUCCCAUUAAAAUGAUUGAUGUGGCACACUAAUUUAAUGGGUUAAUAAUCAAUUAGGUCCCUAAAAUAUAAAUAAAAUACUAUUUUAUUUUUUUUCUUUUAACAAUAAUUCUUGAAAGAAAAAAAUAUUAAAUGGUUGCGCAACUGAAAAGGAGAGUUAAGGAGCGGAAAUGGAGGUAUUGAACUGCCCGGAAACGGCAGACGGGACCAGGCGGCGCGAAAAGAUGAGAUUGAUAAUCGGAUUUUAGCAUUGCAGCAGCUGACCAUUGAACUGCCGACGGCGAAGCUUGCAGUUGGGGAAAAAACGCGAUGGAAUGUGGAUGAAUUGGCCGUUAAAUGUUGUGAAAACCUCCAAUCCCCGUUCACUCAACCGCAACUUCCACCGACGCCGCCACUCCCACUUUCUCUUGGGACGAUUUCGUUCACGUCUCUCAACCCGAGUUCAACCCCCACGAUUCUUCCGAUCUCCGAGGCUUCUUCGAUAAAAUCAAAGCUUGCAACUGUGGCGCUGUGAGCAUCUCUCUUACUCAAUGUAUUAAUCAUGUUUUAUGCAUCUUUAAAUGUGGGCUAAUGUGAAUCAAAAUAAUGUAUUAGCUAAGCUAGUUAUAUAUAUAUAUAUAAUUGAUGUGCAGUUUUGCUGAAAAUUUAAGGAGUUUUCAGGAUUUUCUUAUAUUAUCUAAAGAUAAUUGUGAUGGCGGUAAAGUUAUGUUGCAUCAAUCGUGAAAAUCGGCCGAGGAUCGAACUAGAGCUGUAGGAGAAGCGAUCAAAUGCUUAGCUGAAAAUGAGGUACAGCUUGAAAUUGAAUAUUUCAUUUUUCUAAUUAAAAUAAAAAAAAUAUUGAAUUGAAGGAUUAAAGGAAGGAAAUAAAAAACCUUGUUUAUAAUAAUUAUUUAGAAUUUUUAUAAUAUAUUUUAUAUAUUUUAUGAUUUAUUAAAAAAUUAAAAAUAUCAAAAUAAUGUUUUAUUUAUACUUCAUAGACCAUAUUGAUUAUUAAACCUUUAAAUUAAUAUGUUAAUACGGAUGAGUGUAUAAAAUAUAACGAUUUGAUAAUAUUAAUGGUUGCUAAAUUGUAAGUAACAAAUUGUGUGUUUUAUUCAGUAGUUUUUUAAUUAAUUAUAUGUUGAAAUAAAUUGCAACAUAUAUUAUAAGUAAAUAAAUUCAAAUAGAUAAAUGUUUAUACUUGGAUAUAAAAAUAGUACUUAAAAAUGUUAUAACUACACUUUAUUUGCAAAAUAUUCCUUAUUUAUUUUUUAUAAAGAAAAAAAAAAGCAGAUGACCUCAAUAUAAAUUAUAUGGAUGAAUGUAAAAGAAAAAAGAGGAUGGAUAAUUUCAUUAAAUUGAUUUGGUAAGUGAUAGCCCAAUCUAUAUUGAAGUACAUUAAACUAAUCUAGUAAAAGUAGUGUGUGAGUAAUAGCCCAAACUAUAUUUAAGUAUAAGUUAAUAUAGUAUUAUUAAUUAGGUAUUUUUAGGUAACAAUUUAUUUAAGCAUAUUAAAUUACAGUCCAAAAUAUUGAAUCAUCCUCCGAUGCACAAUGAAUUAGAAAUAUUUGUUAAUAAAAAAACAAAAAAUAUAAUAAUCUUACUUUGGUACUUAAAUGUCUCAAUUUGAUAUUUAAAAUAUUAAUUUUCUCUAUUUUUUAUCCAUUUUGCAAUUGUCCUUGAAAAAAUUACAUUAUGCAACUUUGGCCAAUAUAUUUAAAAUGAAAACAUUAAAUUUAAAUUUAAAAUAAAAAUUAUAAUAUUAAAUAUUUAAAUAUUAAAAAAUACUUCAAAUUUUGAUUGAUUGGUGGCUGGUGUUGACCGGUCAUGUGGCGCUAUUAGAACAUGCCACAUGUCAUUUUAAAAUUUUUUUAAUAUUAUAUAUUAUAUUGAAUUAAAGAUGUAAAAAAAACAUAUAUAAUAUAUAUAAAAAUUUAACAAAAAAUUUUAAAAUAUUUUUUAUAAAAUUAUAAUAUAUAUUUUUUUAAAUUUUAAAAAGUCAAAAUAAUAUAUAAAAAUUAAUAUAUAUUUAAAUUUCAUUUUAUAACUUUUUUAAUAUUUAUAUAUUAUUUUUAUUUUUAUUUUCUAUAUAUAUUUUACAAUUUUAUAAAAAAUUAUUUUUAAACUUUUAAAAAUUUAUAUUAUAUAUAUGAUUUUUUUUACAAUUUUAACCAAUAUAACAUAUAGAAUAUUAAAAAAGGAAACUUGACGUGUUCUAAUAGCACCACAUGGCUGAUCAAAGUUUAGUCAAUGAUGGUCAACAUUGGUCAACAGUUGGUCAAACUCAAAAGUGUUUUUUUUUUUUUUUGUAAUGAUCAAUUUUUUGAUGGUGCUUGAAAAUACAAUUAUGUGAUCUCGUUUUCGUAAAUCGAGUACAUAAAUAUUAAAUAGAGAUAUUUACAGAGUUAGUGUAUAGAUGAAUUGAAAUUCGUUUUAGUAAUUUAGCCGAAAUUGUGGUUCGUUAAGGCCCAGAGACUAAAUUGUAAAAAUCUAAUCGCUAUCAAUUUUUAAUUGAAAAAAAAGCUUGGGGACCUACCUAGAAAUUAUCCAAAUGAUAAAAAAUGGUAAAUAAACCAAAAGUUAAUAUGUAUUAGUGGAUGACAAUGAUGAAUUAAUAGUAAAUUAAUUAAAAUAAAACCUAAUUAAAUUGUUAAUUAAAACUAAUUAAAAGUUAAUCAGUUGUAUAAAUAGCAAAUAAGGUGGGAAGAGAGAUGAAAUGUUGUCAUCUUCGCAAAACUCGUAGCAACCAAAGAAAAGAAAAAAAAGAAGAAAACUCAAGGUUUUCCAAGCAUUUGGCCAUACAAUUAGGUAUGGAAAUUUCUUAUAAUUUUUAUAGAUUUGAGGUCACGGGAACUUGAUUUAGCUAGCUCGUGCACUAAUUUCUGAGACUGUUAAAAAUUUAGAGAGUCAAUGACAAGCGAUGCAAACUUUCGAUUUGUAUUUCUACGAUACAGGAUCAAUUUAAUUGUGGCUUGUUCAUGUUAUUUUGCAUUAUAUGGUAUUCAAGUGAACCGAAAAUGGUCAUUUAAAUUGAAUUGCUAUGAUUGAGAUUGAAUAUCUAUAUAUGGACUAAGUUGAAUAAAAUAUAAAAUAAUAUGUUUUAAUCAGUACAUGAUAAUUGGUAUGAAAUUGUUUUGAAACAUGUUAUAUGAUGAGUUGAAAUGAUGAAUCAUGAAUUGGAAUAUGUAACUAAAUUGCAAAUUGGUUAUCCUAUUAGUUGUUCGGACUACAUUAGAUAUAGUUGGCAUGCCAUUGGAUCGGGAUAUUGAUUGUGAAAACCAUCGUUGUCAAGCAACCCGGGGUGACGAAUCUGUGUAUCAAUUCUAAGUUCGUGUCUGGUUAAUAAAAUUACAAAAACAUGGAUUGACUAAAUGGUAUGUGAAUUGAAAUGUAAUUGAAAAGUGACUUUCGACAAAAUGUCAAAGAUCAUACAAAAUGAGUUGAAAAUGAGUCCUGGGGACUGGUUGAGUAAUAGUGAGCCAAUAGGCUUGAAAAUGGUUGAAAUAUUGACAUGAAAUUUAAUAUAUAUAUAUAUACAUGUUGAUAAUGGUAGAUGAUGGCAUGUACCUUGGAUUUAAGUUAGUUUUGUAUCAUAAAUGGUCAGUUUUGGUAUUUGGUUGAUUAGUGUAAACUUGAAGUACCAUUGUCGCAUAUUUUGGUUUGAUUAUACUUGGUAUGUUGUUGAACUAGUUGUAUUUGAAUGUUUAAAUGUUAUUUCAAGUGAUUCCAACUUAUAUCAAAUUGGACCAUUGGAAAAUAGUCUGUCAUGUCAUGACAAGAUUAAACAGGGAGUUACGUCGUGAUGAUGUACUUUCAAUGUUGCGAUGAGUCAAGCUAGUUUGUUGCGUCGUGUUGAAGAACCCCCGAAGUAGCGACAAGGAACCCCUGAAGUUGAGAUGAUAGCUCGGUACUUUGAAAUCUUUACAACUUGGUCCUAUUCCGAUCUUGGGUUAGCAAAAGAUCUUUUGUAAGCUCAUGGAUGACUCGAAAAUGAUAUAUAUCGUAUUACACACGUGUUGUAUUUAAAUGCCCAAUGGAAUGUAAUUGAAUAUAAAUGAUCACAGUUGCUCCAACAACGAAUGUGACAUCUUGAAGCUUAGACCCGAUGAUCAACUCGGGUAUGGGGUACUACAAUUUUUUAUAUUUAAAUAUUUAAUAUUAUAUUUUUCUAUUUUUAAUUUAAAUUUAAUGUUUUUAAUGUAAAUAAACUUAUUUGUCACGUGAUAUUUUUUUAUUGGGCAAAACAUGCCACGUGGCACUUUUCAUUA
rnacentral:lncRNA from 1 species